CAAUAGCGUAUAUUAAAGUUGUUGCAGUUAAAAAGCUCGUAGUUGGAUUUCUGGACGGAGCGACCGGUCUGCCGCUUGUGCGGUGUGUACUUGUGUUCGACUCUGUUCAUCCUUGCGGGGAAGCGCAUUACGGCAUUAAGUUGUCGUGGCGGGGAACCGCAUCUUUUACUGUGAAAAAUUAGAGUGUUCAAAGCAGGCAAUCGCUUGAAUACAUUAGCAUGGAAUAAUAGAAUAGGACUUUGGUCUUAUUUUGUUGGUUUCUAAGGCCGAGGUAAUGAUUAAUAGGGAUAGUUGGGGGCGUUUAUAUUCCGUUGUCAGAGGUGAAAUUCUUGGAUUUACGGAAGAUAAACUACUGCGAAAGCAUUCGCCAAGGAUGUUUUCAUUAAUCAAGAACGAAAGUUAGGGGAUCGAAGAUGAUCAGAUACCAU
rnacentral:rRNA from 1 species